rnacentral:rRNA from 1 species
AGUGGCGAAGGCGGUCUGUUGGACAGCAACUGACGGUGAGGCGCGAAAGCGUGGGGGAGCAAACAGGAUUAGAUACCCUGGUAGUCCACGCUGUAAACGAUGGAUACUAGGUGUGCGGGGACUGACCCCCUGCGUGCCGCAGCUAACGCAAUAAGUAUCCCACCUGGGGAGUACGAUCGCAAGGUUGAAACUCAAAGGAAUUGACGGGGGCCCGCACAAGCGGUGGAUUAUGUGGUUUAAUUCGAUGCAACGCGAAGAACCUUACCAGGGCUUGACAUCCUACUAACGAAGUAGAGAUACAUUAGGUACCCUUCGGGGGAAGUAGAGACAGGUGGUGCAUGGUUGUCGUCAGCUCGUGUCGUGAGAUGUUGGGUUAAGUCCCGCAACGAGCGCAACCCUUAUUGUUAGUUGCUACGCAAGAGCACUCUAGCGAGACUGCCGUUGACAAAACGGAGGAAGGUGGGGACGACGUCAAAUCAUCAUGCCCCUUAUGUCCUGGGCUACACACGUAAUACAAUGGCGGUAAACAGAGGGAUGCAAAGCUGUGAAGUGGAGCGAACCCCUAAAAGCCGUCCCAGUUCAGAUUGCAGUCUGCAACUCGACUGCAUGAAGUCGGAAUCGCUAGUAAUCGCGGAUCAGCAUGCCGCGGUGAAUAC